UACGUAGGGUGCAAGCGUUGUCCGGAAUUAUUGGGCGUAAAGAGCUCGUAGGCGGUCUGUCACGUCGGCUGUGAAAUCCCGAGGCUCAACCUCGGGUCUGCAGUCGAUACGGGCAAACUAGAGUACUGCAGGGGAGACUGGAAUUCCUGGUGUAGCGGUGGAAUGCGCAGAUAUCAGGAGGAACACCGGUGGCGAAGGCGGGUCUCUGGGCCGAUACUGACGCUGAGGAGCGAAAGCGUGGGGAGCGAACAGG
rnacentral:rRNA from 1 species